CCACCGGGCGAGAGCCGGGCCCGCUGUGUGCUCCCCCGGAAGGACAGCCAGCUUGUAGGGGGGAGCGCCACCUGAAAAAAAAUUUCCAGGUCCCCAAAGGGUGACCGUCUUCCGGAGGACAGCGGAUCGACUACCAUGUGGGUGCCCACAAAAAUUCCACCUCUGAGUCCUCAACUGCUGACCCCGGGGUCAGGCCCCUGGAUCCUCCUGGAAUCCCCGAUCCCUGUUGCUCCCUGGCGGAGUUUUCUAGUCCCUCUUACUUGAAGCAUGUCUUUCAGAGCCCGGCACCACCCAUCUUGAGUAUCUGAUACCCCAUCAGCCUGAGUCUCUUAAAGGCCUUUAUACACACAUGUCUACACAUAGGGAUUUGGAUUAUCUCGGGAUCCCACAUCCUCGCUGUCCCCUGUCCCCCCGCAACAUCCCCCACCAAUACCUUUCUGAAGUUUUCUAGUCCCUCCUUUUAGUUUGUGCUCCUUAAAGCCCAGCCCCAUGCCUGACUUUGGUUCCCAGUGAGCAUUGUACAUUUGUGGAUAUUAAAUCUUUGGCAAAGUCA
rnacentral:lncRNA from 1 species